UGGGGAAUUUUGCGCAAUGGGCGAAAGCCUGACGCAGCGACGCCGCGUGGGUGAUGAAGGCCUUCGGGUUGUAAAGCCCUGUGGGGAGGGAAGAAUAAGUUACGGCGAACAGUCGUAGCGAUGACGGUACCUCCUUAGCAAGCACCGGCUAACUCUGUGCCAGCAGCCGCGGUAAGACAGAGGGUGCAAACGUUGUUCGGAAUUACUGGGCGUAAAGCGCGUGUAGGCGGCGGCGCAAGUCGGGUGUGAAAUCCCUGGGCUCAACCGAGGAAGUGCACUCGAAACUGCGUGGCUUGAGUUCCGGAGAGGAUGGUGGAAUUCUCGGUGUAGAGGUGAAAUUCGUAGAUAUCGAGAGGAACACCGGUGGCGAAGGCGGCCAUCUGGACGGAAACUGACGCUGAGACGCGAAAGCGUGGGUAGCAAACAGG
rnacentral:rRNA from 2 species